rnacentral:pre_miRNA from 1 species
GGAAUAUUGGCUGAAGGAGAAAGAGCGGCUGCAAAAGAAGGAAGAGCACCAUUACAUUGGAGGAGGAGGAGUUCCUUCUUCCGCAGCUGUUCUUUUUCCUUCCGCAGCUGUUC